GCAUAUCAAUAAGCGGAGGAAAAGAAACCAACAGGGAUUGCCCCAGUAACGGCGAGUGAAGCGGCAACAGCUCAAAUUUGAAAUCUGGCCCCAGGCCCGAGUUGUAAUUUGCAGAGGAUGCUUUUGGCGCGGUGCCUUCCGAGUUCCCUGGAACGGGACGCCAUAGAGGGUGAGAGCCCCGUACGGUUGGACACCAAGUCUUUGUAAAGCUCCUUCGACGAGUCGAGUAGUUUGGGAAUGCUGCUCUAAAUGGGAGGUAUAUUUCUUCUAAAGCUAAAUAUUGGCCAGAGACCGAUAGCGCACAAGUAGAGUGAUCGAAAGAUGAAAAGCACUUUGAAAAGAGGGUUAAACAGCACGUGAAAUUGUUAAAGGGGAAGCGCUUAUGACCAGACUUGCGCCCGGUGAAUCACCCAGCUCUCGCGGCUGGGGCACUUUGCCGGCUCAGGCCAGCAUCAGCUCGCUGUCGGGGACAAAAGCUUCGGGAACGUAGCUCUCUUCGGGGAGUGUUAUAGCCCGUUGCACAAUACCCUUCGGCGGGCUGAGGUACGCGCUCCGCAAGGAUGCUGGCGUAAUGGUCAUCAGCGACCCGUCUUGAAACACGGACC
rnacentral:rRNA from 1 species